GGCAGCUCAGUGGCAGGUAAAAUUCUGUAUUUCAUAUUACAGUACACCUACUGUAAUAUAAAUACGGUAUCAAAGCAAGUACUGUGUAAUGACACACAGUACAAUUAUGUAAAAAAGUCAAUGCUACCGUACUCACAGUGAAUUCAUCAAUGGAUGGAUGAAUGGAAUUCAUUGGUAUUUUGGUAUUUUAUUAGGAUCCCCAUUAGCUGUUGUGAUAGAUGCAGCUACUCUUCCUGGGCUCCAACACAAAACAUGAAACAUGACAUAAUACAGAACAUCUAUAGUAGUACAUCAAUAGACAAGAACAGCUCAAGGUCAGAACUAGAUAAAUGUAAAACAAGAAAAAUAUAACUAAAAGGUUCUGUACUGACUCAAUACUGAGAGAAAAACACAGAGCUACCAUUCUAUACCUACAUUUAUAAUGUCCAUGUUCAUAUAUUGUAUUUUCAUUCAGUAGCAUUUAUCAGUACAUUUAGGUCAAAAUCGGGGGAGGCGUUGUACUGGGAGGUGUUUUAUCUGUUUUUUUAAACCAGGUUUGCUGUUCACUUGAACAAUAUGAAAUGGAAAGGAGUUCCAUGCAAUCUUGGAUCUAUAUACUACUAUACGAUUCCUUGAAUUCGUUCUGGAUAUGGGGACUGUGAAAAGACCCACGGUUUUAUGUCUGGUGGGGUAAGUGUGUGUGUCAGUGCUGUGUGCAAGUCGACUGCAAACCAUUUUUAAUUUUCAACACAUUAAUGUUCCUUCUAAAAACAUUGGGGGAAAGAAACUUACAGCAUAUUAUUCAAAUCAAAUCAAAUGUAUUUAUAUAGCCCUUCGUACAUCAGCUGAAAUCUCAAAGUGCUGUACAGAAACCCAGCCUAAAACCCCAAACAGCAAGCAAUGCAGGUGUAGAAGCACGGUGGCUAGGAAAAACUCCCUAGAAAGGCCAAAACCUAGGAAGAAACCCAGAGAGGAACCAGGCUAUGUGGGGUGGCCAGUCCUCUUCUGGCUGUGCCGGGUGGAGAAUAUAACAGAACAUGGCCAAGAUGUUCAAAUGUUCAUAAAUGACAAGCAUGGUCGUAUAAUAAUAAGGCAGAUCAGUUGAAACUGGAGCAGCAGCACGGUCAGAUGGACUGGGGACAGCAAGGAGUCAUCAUGUCAGAUAGUCCUGGGGCAUGGUCCUAGGGCUCAGGUCCUCCGAGAGAGAGAAAGAAAGAGGGAGAGAAUUAGAGAACGCACACUUAGAUUCACACAGGACACCGAAUAGGACAGGAGAAGUACUCCAGAUAUAACAAACUGACCCUAGCCCCCCGACACAUAAACUACUGCAGCAUAAAUACUGGAGGCUGAGACAGGAGGGGUCAGGAGACACUGUGGCCGCACUUUGCCAAAGCACAGCCCCCACACCACUAGAGGGAUAUCUUCAACCACCAACUUACCAUCCUGAGACAAGGCUGAGUAUAGCCUACAAAGAUCUCUGCCAUGGCACAACCCAAGGGGGGGCACCAACCCAGACAGGAUGACCAAUUAUUUAGUGUUUUAUAUCACUUACACUUCUAGAGGCCUUAACAAGAGCUUCCACACUGUCAACAACUACAGGGCAAAACAGAACAAAAGGUCAUGGCAAAAAUACUCAACCAUUAAAGGUUUAAAACCUGCUUCCACUCCAAUCUGGACCCUAUACCUUUUACAUAGAUGGGGCACUAUAACCACAUAGGAGUUAAAUUGGUACAGCAUUCUCACUCACAGGAGCAACAAAUAUAGCCUAAAAAAUAUGUUAUAAUAUAUAAUAAUGGUCAUAGGGUACAAUAGUGAAUUCUGUGGGGUGGAAUUAUGGUACACUGUAAAAAAAAAUAUCCUGUUGUUUCUACAGUAACUUACUGACACCCAAUAUGUUACUGUAAAUUCCAAGGAAACCUUGGUAUAACAAAGAAAGCACUCUCCUCUCCUCCCCUCCCUUCCCUUCCCUGGACAGACCAGACCAGCAGCAGCAGAUGUGGAGGCUGGUAACAACAGGAUAAUGACUCAGAUAUUCUGCUACCGGAGUGGAAUAACUGCUAGUGGGUUUAUCAGACUCUGAGGGGGGAAAAGAGGGGAUUUAGAACUACACAGCACUUCCUGCUUCCUUCCUUCUCACAGGGCAACUGUCUACACCAGCUGGUCCUGGUCCAUGAUAGAGGGGAAUGGAACCUCACCCUCAUGUCUGACUACACUAACAUCACUCUACAGAGAUGAGCACAGAGCCUAAACAUCCUGACACACAAGUAUCAAAUCAAAUUGCGUCAAAUACAAUUUCACCUUACAGUGAAAUGCUUACUUAUGAGCCCCUAACUAACAGUGCAAUUUCAAAAAAAUGAGGAUAAGAAGAGAUAUAAGUAACAAGUAAUUAAAGAGCAGCAGUAAAAAAUAACAAUAUAUUUAUAUAUAUAUAUAUAUAUAUAUAUAUAUAUACACAGGGGGGUGCUGGUACAGAGUCAAUGUGUGGGGGCACCGGUUAGUUGAGGUAGUAUGUACAGUACAUGUAGGUAGAGUUAUUAAAAUAGUGUGUGUGUGUGUGUGCGUGCGUGACUAAUAGGUCAAUAGUACAUGUGAAUCUCACGUGUGAUGAUCAGCUGGCAGUCAGGAUGUGACAUGUGGAUUACGCAAGCUACCUCCAUCACAAUGAUUUUAGCAGGUUAUCCAACUGUGAUUCCUAUAUACACAAUGAAACCACAUCACCCUUUUCUCUCCUAUAGUUCAGCUUUGUUAGUUAUUAGUGUGGUGUUAGGUGGAAGUAAGUCUGGUGGACACAGAAAGUUCAUGGGUGAUAGAAUACACUUAUUCUCUUGGCAGUCACAGACCUCUGUAAAAAGUAUUUCUCCAACAUCAUACAGGGAGACACAGUUUCACAGCUAAUUAAAACUUUGAAACUCUCCACAUUCAUUAUGUUAUGAUCUCAGUGGGGGACCAAACAAUCCCGGUUUCUGUGUGUGAAUGUGCGUGUGCAUGCGUGUGUGUUCACACUAAAGACCUGUGCUAAUUGGUUCGAAGUUGGUUGUUGCAGACUAGACAUGGGUUGUAGCAGACUGUUAGCAGUAUGAAGUGUGAUCUGCAGGGACUUUGGGAGGGGAAGGGCUGCAUGUUAGCUCAAAAAGCCUCCUGACCCCGUGGAAUACAUAGUUACAAGGGUGAAUGUAUGUUAAUGAACUGGAUUAGCAGAGGCUAUAGCCUCAUUAACUGGGAAUCUGUCCCACAUUUGAUAAAAUUGUCAACUAAUGUAAAUUCAAAGUGAAAUCAACAAAAAUGUAACCAUCUCAUUGGAUUUAGAGUCAAAGUUGGAUGAAAAAAGAUUCCUUUACGUUGAUGACUUUUUGCAAAUCCAAACAAGUUUUCCACUCUGAUUCAACGUCAUCACGUUAUAUUUUUGUUGUUGUUGAAAUGACGUGAAAACAAAAUGUAUUCAAGCAGUUUGGCCUAGUGGGAUGUGUGUUUACAGACUCUUGCUGUUAGAGGUAUCCAGGGGGAUGUUAACAUGUUCAUACAGUGGCUUACUUCACAAACACAGUUGACAGUUUAACCAUAAUGUUAGACACCUGCAGAUACAAACCAUACCACGUCUCACAGCAAAACCUAAACUACCCUUUAGAGAGUGAAUCAUGACUCAUGAAUAGAUGGAUGGAUGGAUAGAUGGAAGUGAAGGUUUGGAGGCAGUUUCACAUCUCUGCUCAAGAGCUCCCCCCACCCACCCCAUACGUAGCUUAGCGACGAGGGUCUUUUAUCAGCGACAAAGAGCAGUGGUCUGUUUGAUCUGGAUCUCCUGUUCUCUGUCUGAAUGAGCCCAGCCCGAUUCUACAGUAUCAGUCCUGGACCACUAGAAAGAGCCCACCACAGCCCUGUCCCUUAUCAUCAUCCUCAGCCUGACCAGUAUAAAUACCCAGUUCUCCCAUCCCCAGUCCCGGUCCUGUCAUUAGUGCUGCCUAUGUCAUCAUUCAUCUGCUUCGGCAUAUUAAAAACCCUGCAGACCCUACACACCACUGAUCAACGACAGCUCCCUAAUCAGAAUUUUCAGUCAUGGUUGUCAUUCUAUACAUGCAGCAAGGACAGUCUCUCUCUCUCUCUCUUUGUUAUGUGUCCCUCUGGUGGUCAGGUAGGGAAAUUGCUCUUGAAUUCCCUAUUGUUAUAUUGAGCACUCUGAAUGGUGUUGUAGUUCCUUUAGAAAACAUUUGACCUGCCCAUCCAUCUAUCAUAUUGCUGUAAUAACUACAUACAGAAACCCAAAGCGUAUCGUGGGUAGUAUGGAGCUCAUUCAGCCAGCACACCAUGUGGACACAGUUUCCCUAGAGCGCCUGUUGCUUAGCUACAAUCUACUAUCAGGCCCCGAGGACUGGAGUUGCACACCUAGCCGCCUCUCUCUCUCUCUAGCCGCCUCUCUCUCUCUCUCUCUCUAGCCGCCUCUCUCUCUCUCUCUAGCCGCCUCUCUCUCUCUC
ensembl:lncRNA